rnacentral:rRNA from 1 species
UGGGGAAUUUUGGACAAUGGGCGCAAGCCUGAUCCAGCCAUGCCGCGUGCGGGAAGAAGGCCUUCGGGUUGUAAACCGCUUUUGUCAGGGAAGAAAUCUUCUGAGUUAAUACCUCGGGAGGAUGACGGUACCUGAAGAAUAAGCACCGGCUAACUACGUGCCAGCAGCCGCGGUAAUACGUAGGGUGCAAGCGUUAAUCGGAAUUACUGGGCGUAAAGCGUGCGCAGGCGGUUUUGUAAGACAGAGGUGAAAUCCCCGGGCUCAACCUGGGAACUGCCUUUGUGACUGCAAGGCUUGAGUGCGGCAGAGGGGGGAAUGGAAUUCCGCGUGUAGCAGUGAAAUGCGUAGAUAUGCGGAGGAACGCCGAUGGCGAAGGCAAUCCCCUGGGGCCUGCACUGACGCUCAUGCACGAAAGCGUGGGGAGCAAACAGGAUUAGAUAGCCCUGGUAGUCCACGCCCUAAAACGAUGUCAACUGGUUGUUGGGAAGGUUCCUUCUCAGUAACGUAGCUAACGCGUGAAGUUG